rnacentral:lncRNA from 1 species
AACCCUCCGCUGCGGAGGAGCAGUGCGCAUCCCGGUUUUGGAUAGCGGACGGGAAAGCUGAGAUAGCGGGUUGCGGGAGCGGAGCGCUUCCCGGCCCGGAGCGAUUUUCUGCUUUUAGGGCUCUUUUUGGAGUGCGAGCAUACGUUUUAACCCUUAAAAAAAAUUUAAAUUGGAAAAUUUAUUAUAGUCGUUCGUGUUUUCUCCUCUCUCAUUCGUGUUUUCACCCUUCUCCAUCAUGUUUUCCGUGCGCUGUUUCUCGUGUUUUUUUCGCGCUGCUUCAUAUGCCCUAACUCCUCCUCCGCCUCACCUGCUUCAUAUGCCCUAACUCCUCCUCCGCCUCACCUGCUUCAAGCUUCUCUCUAUUCUUCUUCUAUUCUCCUUCUUCUCUACUUCUAUUUUCUGCUUUUCUAUCUUGUUCUCUAUCCUGUUAUUCUCUAUUCAUUAUUUUUCCAUUCGUUUCCUAAGUUGUUUUUUCUUUCAUAUCAUUGCUUUUUUUUUUUCUUUUUAAAUAUAUUGAUUAUGGGAUUGAUAUAGGUAGAUUAUUCAUAUAGUUAGUCCAUAACGUUGUUUAAUCUACAUUAAAUAUAUAGGUAGAUUAUUCAUAUAAUUAGUCAAAAAAGUUAUCCCGCUAUCUCAUUUUUGGGAUCGGCCGCUCCGCUCUGUUCUCCGGGAUUAAUAACUCUGUUAUAUUUGCAAACUAGAAAUACUCCUUCUGGUCCUAUUUAUAAGAAACAAUUUAUUUGUAAGUUAUAUUUUAUGUCUCUGCCAAAUGCCGGCGCACAAAGUCUUUACUUCUUGGUGUUUGUACUUUAAUUCGGAGGAAACCGUAAGUGUUAUUGCUAGAAUUUUUUCCCGUAUUCGCUUUUCCAGAACCAACGAUCUUUGU